ACAGCAUCCCAGUGAUUCCGGCCGUGAAAGCCUUCGACAAUACGUCAUAUCUGUUCUUUUCAGUUUAACAUCUGAUACAUCUUCUCUUUGAGGGUUAUAUAUUAAAUAGAUUUUUGGAACUGGAAGAUGCAACAGUGUUAGCACAGCUCUAAGGAUUUAUAAUAAGCAAUAGAAUUAUUUAAGGUUUUCUAACU